rnacentral:tRNA from 1 species
GGCCCAUUCGUCUAAUCGGUUAGGACGCAGGCCUCUCAAGCCUGAAGCACGAGUUCGAAUCUCGUAUGGGCCA